rnacentral:tRNA from 1 species
UGCAGGAGUGUCGGAAUUGGCAGACGAGCAAGACUAAGGAUCUUGUGAUCAAUGCGAUCGUGUGGGUUCAAGUCCCAUCUCCUGCAU